rnacentral:rRNA from 1 species
UACGAAGGGGGCUAGCGUUGUUCGGAAUUACUGGGCGUAAAGGGUGCGUAGGUGGCGAGGUUAGUCAGGUGUGAAAUCUCGGGGCUCAACCCCGAAACUGCACUUGAUACUGCCUUGCUAGAGUACUGGAGAGGAGAUUGGAAUUUACGGUGUAGCAGUGAAAUGCGUAGAUAUCGUAAGGAAGACCAGUGGCGAAGGCGAAUCUCUGGACAGUUACUGACACUGAGGCACGAAGGCCAGGGGAGCAAACGGG